GGGAGUGACUGGAGGUGAUGGACACAGCUGUAAAAUGGAGAGAGUAAAAACUGCAUCCUGAAAAGGAAAUGGAUGCAUGUGGGGGUCUACAUAGUGAACUCAAGGCUGAUGAGAAGCUGCUGCAGAGGUGGCACCACUAAAUUCCUAAAGGAGAAAGUCCCCACCUAGAAAGUUUAAUUUUAAUGCUUUUCUCUUCAGGAAAAAAAAAAAAAAAGUAAUUUUUCUUGUCUCAAAUCAUCAGUGGAAUUUACAGGAUAAAGCCGAAAGUCCAGUUUCAAACUCAGCUUUUCAGGUUGCAUUUCAAAACCUUUCUUUUGAAACUGGAAAUAGGAAGUUUUUUCUUUUUCAUCUCAGUUUACUGCUGAGGGCAGUGAGAUUAUUCAUGUCCCGCAGUCUGGCUUUACUGCCUGUUCUGCAUUUUACUUCCCCUUUGUUUUUUCCAACUGUAGGAAAGUCAUCAAGUUGGAAUAGGAGCAUUAAAAUCAUGACACAAUGUCACCUGAUGACUUGUCCAGCACUGAUGAAAUUUCAACUGGAAAAGAACCAAGGAAGAAGGAGGGAAAAAUUAAACAGGUGAUUUAUUAGAAAUAAACUUCUUAGAGGCCAGAAUUUUCAUUUUCAUUCAUCUUGAAUAAAAAUAUAUUUUCAGAUUUGUUUCACAUCAAAAUGUGCUUCUUCACAGGGAACGUUUUCUAAUAGAAAUGAUCUCACUUUAAUAUUUUGGCAGGAUUUUCCUGUGCAUUUUUUUCUCUUUGGAACUGCACUGAUGCAGGGCAGUAAAAGAUGAUGGAUUGGUGUGUUGAGUGGGCGCUGAAAGGACUGAAACUGCUGCUCUAUAGCUGCGAAACUCACUUGGACAUGGAAUCAGUGGAUCCUCCUCCAGGUUUUGCCAGUUCAGGGCUAUGAGAAGUUGGGAGCACCUGGUGCUGCCUGCACUGCCUGAUGCAAAACCUUCCCAAGGAGUUCUGUGGCGAGGCAUUUUAAAACAGGACCCAUUUCCCUAGCCAAGAGGGAGACUAGGAGCAAUGGUUCAUGGAAAAUGAGUAUACCCAUCACCCCCAGCCAUAGGAGAUUGGAACAGCUGCAGUUUUCCUAGGAAUUUUCAUGGGUACUUAGUGUCGCAGGGCUGCAAGAAAGGGUUAAAGUGUUUUCAGUUACGAAGUGCACAACAAACAAAGGGGAUGUGGUAAUCCCUUCUGCCACAGAGUGAAAAGUUCACUUGAUAUGCUACUUUACACUGAUUCUCACAGACUCUGGGAUUAAACCGGACACACUCUGAUGUCCAGGUUUUCUAGUAAAGGGCUCUAGCCCAGCCUGCCAAAUUCACUUCAUAUUUGGGAACAUAUUCUCUGAAAAUCCUGCUGACAGAUGAAGAGCAGGAAGACAGCCAGUUUCCCAUGGAACAAUAACUCCAUGCAAACCACAUCUCCUGGCAACCAACCUGGCCUUGCUAGGGUGGCGGCUGGGGAUGUUGGCUGGAGCAGCAUCUCUGGGUCACUGCCAGGUGCAGUCUGCCAGGAUUGUCCUUCUGGUCUAUGUCAAGAGUUUUGCUUUUAUGCCCUGUCUCCCUGCCAGGCUUUGGGGCUGUGCCACACUAAUGAGUUACCUGCCAGUUACUGAGCUUUGGCUGAGCUCAGGGACAAUGGAUGUAGGAGGCCAGCAAUAGGAUGAAAGGGGCAAGGCAAGAUGCCUUGUGCCGUGGUUAGGCUGGGAUGCUGAGUGAGCUGUUCUCUCUGGAUGCCCCUGGCCUUGCUUAUUUUCAUACUUCUAUGUCUUAGAAGGUUCUUGCAGAGUGGUCUCAUGUAUAGGGACAACUAAUAGAACUCCUGUGGUUGCAAAUCUCUGUCACUUCUGCCUGGUCCACAACAAUUCAAUCGCCAGUGGCACAUGAGUACAAUCAGGACAUUUGUUUCUCUGAGCUAGUUGGAAAAAAUUGACAAUCUGACUGUUGGGGAGGGCAGAUUCCUUUCAGCUACACACAGACCUUGGCCCUUCAGGUAUUCUGGGUUUCACUCUUCAUCUGCAUGGCAGGGUCAACCCAGCUUCCCCUUUGUUGGGAGAUGUUGCAGUGGUGUUUUCAAAUUAAUUGCUCUUUCUUUCUUUCAGAUGAAACACUGAAAAUUUUCUCUGAAAGCACAUGUUUUAAUGAAAAUAACUCAUUCAGGUGAAAAUCUGAUUGUGUCUUGAAAACCUCCCUUCCAUGCAUGAUUUCUGACCAGUUUUUCUAUGUAAACUAUUCAAGGAACAAGGUACAAAACUUCCCUCUUGUUCCGUCUUUCAGCUAUUUCCCUGCUUUGGGGCACCACUGUUAGUUUCUCUGCCAGAUUCUGUCCCAGUGGGUGUGAGAGUAGGAGAGAAGCAUGGUACACACGCCAAGGGGAUGACACACAAGGUCCCAACAUAAGCCUGCCCACUCUGCUGUUUCCAGCUGCUCCUUGGAGCAAAUACUUUGGGUUUGAAAACAAGAAGAACAAAGAGAAAGGUUUCACGGAGACAUGUUUACCAAAGGCUGCAGCCUGCAGGGUUGUUGUGACCAUCACUGGUGGUCAUGCAGAGGAUGAGCCAGGGCAGCCAUAUUUGGGAAAAAAAAAAAA
ensembl:lncRNA